rnacentral:rRNA from 1 species
AUUGAACGCUGGCGGCAUGCCUUACACAUGCAAGUCGAACGGUAACAGGCCGCAAGGUGCUGACGAGUGGCGAACGGGUGAGUAAUACAUCGGAACGUGCCCGAUCGUGGGGGAUAACGCAGCGAAAGCUGUGCUAAUACCGCAUACGAUCUACGGAUGAAAGCGGGGGAUCGCAAGACCUCGCGCGGACGGAGCGGCCGAUGGCAGAUUAGGUAGUUGGUGGGGUAAAGGCCUACCAAGCCGACGAUCUGUAGCUGGUCUGGGAGGACGACCAGCCACACUGGGACUGAGGCACGGCCCAGAGUCCUACGGGAGGCAGCAGUGGGGAAUGUUGGACAAUGGGCGCAAGCCUGAUCCAGCCAUGCCGCGUGCAGGAUGAAGGCCUUCGGGUUGUAAACUGCUUUUGUACGGAACGAAAAGGUUUCUUUUAAUACAGGGAACUGAUGACGGUACCGUAAGAAUAAGCACCGGCUAACUACGUGCCAGCCGCCGCGGUAA